UACGUAGGGUGCGAGCGUUAAUCGGAAUUACUGGGCGUAAAGCGUGCGUAGGCGGUCCGCGAAGUCUGAUGUGAAAGCCCCGGGCUCAACCUGGGAAUUGCAUUUGAAACUACAGGGCUAGAGUGUGUCAGAGGGGGGUAGAAUUCCACGUGUAGCAGUGAAAUGCGUAGAGAUGUGGAGGAAUACCGAUGGCGAAGGCAGCCCCCUGGGAUAACACUGACGCUCAUGCACGAAAGCGUGGGGAGCAAACAGG
rnacentral:rRNA from 1 species